AGCGUCUGGAAAGGCGCGCGAUACAGGGUGACAGCCCCGUACACAAAAAUGCACAUAUUGUGAGCUCGAUGAGUAGGGCGGGACACGUGGUAUCCUGUCUGAAUAUGGGGGGACCAUCCUCCAAGGCUAAAUACUCCUGACUGACCGAUAGUGAACCAGUACCGUGAGGGAAAGGCGAAAAGAACCCCGGCGAGGGGAGUGAAAAAGAACCUGAAACCGUGUACGUACAAGCAGUGGGAGCCUCUUUAUGGGGUGACUGCGUACCUUUUGUAUAAUGGGUCAGCGACUUAUAUUCUGUAGCAAGGUUAACCGAAUAGGGGAGCCGAAGGGAAACCGAGUCUUAACUGGGCGUUAAGUUGCAGGGUAUAGACCCGAAACCCGGUGAUCUAGCCAUGGGCAGGUUGAAGGUUGGGUAACACUAACUGGAGGACCGAACCGACUAAUGUUGAAAAAUUAGCGGAUGACUUGUGGCUGGGGGUGAAAGGCCAAUCAAACCGGGAGAUAGCUGGUUCUCCCCGAAAGCUAUUUAGGUAGCGCCUCGUGAAUUCAUCUCCGGGGGUAGAGCACUGUUUCGGCAAGGGGGUCAUCCCGACUUACCAACCCGAUGCAAACUGCGAAUACCGGAGAAUGUUAUCACGGGAGACACACGGCGGGUGCUAACGUCCGUCGUGAAGAGGGAAACAACCCAGACCGCCAGCUAAGGUCCCAAAGUCAUGGUUAAGUGGGAAACGAUGUGGGAAGGCCCAGACAGCCAGGAUGUUGGCUUAGAAGCAGCCAUCAUUUAAAGAAAGCGUAAUAGCUCACUGGUCGAGUCGGCCUGCGCGGAAGAUGUAACGGGGCUAAACCAUGCACCGAAGCUGCGGCAGCGACACUAUGUGUUGUUGGGUAGGGGAGCGUUCUGUAAGCCUGUGAAGGUGGCCUGUGAGGGUUGCUGGAGGUAUCAGAAGUGCGAAUGCUGACAUAAGUAACGAUAAAGCGGGUGAAAAGCCCGCUCGCCGGAAGACCAAGGGUUCCUGUCCAACGUUAAUCGGGGCAGGGUGAGUCGACCCCUAAGGCGAGGCCGAAAGGCGUAGUCGAUGGGAAACAGGUUAAUAUUCCUGUACUUGGUGUUACUGCGAAGGGGGGACGGAGAAGGCUAUGUUGGCCGGGCGACGGUUGUCCCGGUUUAAGCGUGUAGGCUGGUUUUCCAGGCAAAUCCGGAAAACCAAGGCUGAGGCGUGAUGACGAGGCACUACGGUGCUGAAGCGACAAAUGCCCUGCUUCCAGGAAAAGCCUCUAAGCAUCAGGUAACAUCAAAUCGUACCCCAAACCGACACAGGUGGUCAGGUAGAGAAUACCAAGGCGCUUGAGAGAACUCGGGUGAAGGAACUAGGCAAAAUGGUGCCGUAACUUCGGGAGAAGGCACGCUGAUAUGUAGGUGAAGCGACUUGCUCGUGGAGCUGAAAUCAGUCGAAGAUACCAGCUGGCUGCAACUGUUUAUUAAAAACACAGCACUGUGCAAACACGAAAGUGGACGUAUACGGUGUGACGCCUGCCCGGUGCCGGAAGGUUAAUUGAUGGGGUUAGCGGUAACGCGAAGCUCUUGAUCGAAGCCCCGGUAAACGGCGGCCGUAACUAUAACGGUCCUAAGGUAGCGAAAUUCCUUGUCGGGUAAGUUCCGACCUGCACGAAUGGCGUAAUGAUGGCCAGGCUGUCUCCACCCGAGACUCAGUGAAAUUGAACUCGCUGUGAAGAUGCAGUGUACCCGCGGCAAGACGGAAAGACCCCGUGAACCUUUACUAUAGCUUGACACUGAACAUUGAGCCUUGAUGUGUAGGAUAGGUGGGAGGCUUUGAAGUGUGGACGCCAGUCUGCAUGGAGCCGACCUUGAAAUACCACCCUUUAAUGUUUGAUGUUCUAACGUUGGCCCGUAAUCCGGGUUGCGGACAGUGUCUGGUGGGUAGUUUGACUGGGGCGGUCUCCUCCUAAAGAGUAACGGAGGAGCACGAAGGUUGGCUAAUCCUGGUCGGACAUCAGGAGGUUAGUGCAAUGGCAUAAGCCAGCUUGACUGCGAGCGUGACGGCGCGAGCAGGUGCGAAAGCAGGUCAUAGUGAUCCGGUGGUUCUGAAUGGAAGGGCCAUCGCUCAACGGAUAAAAGGUACUCCGGGGAUAACAGGCUGAUACCGCCCAAGAGUUCAUAUCGACGGCGGUGUUUGGCACCUCGAUGUCGGCUCAUCACAUCCUGGGGCUGAAGUAGGUCCCAAGGGUAUGGCUGUUCGCCAUUUAAAGUGGUACGCGAGCUGGGUUUAGAACGUCGUGAGACAGUUCGGUCCCUAUCUGCCGUGGGCGCUGGAGAACUGAGGGGGGCUGCUCCUAGUACGAGAGGACCGGAGUGGACGCAUCACUGGUGUUCGGGUUGUCAUGCCAAUGGCACUGCCCGGUAGCUAAAUGCGGAAGAGAUAAGUGCUGAAAGCAUCUAAGCACGAAACUUGCCCCGAGAUGAGUUCUCCCUGACUCCUUGAGAGUCCUGAAGGAACGUUGAAGACGACGACGUUGAUAGGCCGGGUGUGUAAGCGCAGCGAUGCGUUGAGCUAACCGGUACUAAUGAACCGUGAGG
rnacentral:rRNA from 1 species